rnacentral:lncRNA from 1 species
CUGAAGGCAGACCGGUCUCCUCCCCCUGCCCGCGCCCCAGCUCCUCCCGGCUGCCUUUCUGUUCGGAACCAAGAGUUUACAAGUGGCCUUUCAAAGGCGCAGCAGCCCUGCAGGGCCAAGCUGCUGCAUCUGUGAAGAUGUUACCCUCCGCCCUUCCCAACCGCACAGCCUCAGACCCAUUUUUCCCCCCGCUGGGUUGCGAGGGAGGGAGUUUUCCAUGGCCAUGCCCAAAUCUGCUCCAAGAGCGCCCUCUGCUGGAUGACAUCAGGACCCCGACAGCCUCAGCCAUCUUGGAAGUAGAGCCAACUGGAGUUUUGAGAGAAUAAAAAGGAAGGUGGUGCUGAUGUGACUUAACGUAGACCUCAGAGACUGUAGUUGCAGUGGUAGCUUCAUGAGUAGAGGAAGAGAGAUUUUAGGCUGGCAGUCUUUCUGUCACAUCAUGUGAUGUGAAGUGCCAUCAUGGGAACUCCAUCAGUAAGAGGGUCCUCAGCACACAGGACCCUUUGACCUUUUGCACUUCUCUGCCUCCAGACAGUGAGAAAUACACUAACUUUCUUUGCAAGUAACCUAGUUUGUGGAGAUCAGUUAAAGGGAUGAGAAACAGACUGGUAGCAAGAGACUGAAGAACGCCGCUGGAAACUGCUGCUGACAUUGUCAUAAAACAUGGAAGAAAUUCCUAUUUCAGACUCUGUCCCAGCUCAUUGUAUCCUUAAGAGACCUAGAAAUAAACCAUUCAGCUCCU